CAUCUUUUCAUGGUUCCCCUUUGGAAAUCAAAGCUAUGUCUCUCAUGUAAAUACGAUGCUGUAGAAUACGGGCUGCGAGACAAAAAUAUGAAGGGCAAUGGGCUGCUGCUUGCCUAGUAGGGCUGCUGAGGUGAUCUAGGGCAUCACUGUCACCUAUGGUCCUCCUACUGAAAGAAGCAAUGUCAAGUUAUUGCCCAGUUACAGAGAUGGGCUUUCUUCAGAAAGUUAAAACGAAGCCUUUAACUGGACUUAUGAAUCAGACGAAUUAAAUGGCUAUGUUUUGUUUUAUUUCACCUGUCCUCCUGUAUUCAAGGGAGCAGCUAUGAAACUUGUAGCUCUACAAGCUGCUGAGCCCAGGUAAGUGAGGCAGUGAGCAAAGCAAGCCCUGCGCAGGACGAGCAUCCUCCCACUGCCUGCACCAGCACAGCCAGCCCCAGGAGCAGCACCUUCCGCAGUGCCUGUGCCAAGAGAUGUAGAGCUGAAGCACUGUGUCCAGCACCCCGAGGCCUGGUGCACAACUACUGUGGGACAAUGUAUGAGCCAGCUAGCAAGGUAUGACAUGAGAUUCAUUUCCACACUCUACACAAACCUCUUUUCAUUUCUUUUGUAUUAUUUAGCUCUGUUCAUGCUGAUGAAUUACCACAAUAACUAAGGAGUAAGAUAAUAGCAGAUAGCAAUUUGCACUCUAAAGUGAAUUAAUUUUCUUUUAAUCAGGCAUUGCUAAAUAGCAUGAUGGGAAUAGAGUACAGUGCUUCUUAAUGUUAAGUAUUUGCUUGCCUGAAGUAGUGCUAAAAAAUAUGACUGCUCUGGAGAAGCCCUACAACCACAAAACAGGGGAAAGAUACCAAAUCUGAAAUACACUGCUAUGACAAAACAUAAGGACUGUUUGAUUUACCCUUAACACCUGGAAAUAACCAAAUUAACUUCAUGUACUUUUCAUGCUUCGGUUAGCUUAUAAUUCACUGUAUUAAAGUAAUUCUGUUCAUUAGGCAGAGAAAGUACAGGUUGAGUGUUAAACAAUUUUAACUUAAAUACGCACUUAAUACUUAGCCAAAAGUAGUUAAAAUCUAAUCUAAGGUUGUUAUUUGAGUCAAUAACAUAUUUUACAUAAGUGUUCUGUACAAGAAAAUACAAGAUGAAACAUUCUGUUUACAGCGACAAACUGUGUACUUGUAAAUUGAUCAUAACGAAUCCAGCUGGUAACGGAGUUAGUAAGCAAGGCAACAGCAUUGUUUCUUAACAAUCCCACCAGAUAACUGUGGAGUUCUUUGAAGAUAUCUCUUUACAGUGCCUGGAACAGGGAAUAAUCUAACAUUGGUCUUCCCUACUAGGAAUUUUAAAGCACACAGUGAUUAUGUGCCAUUUUAUGACAUUUUUGUAUGAAGGAACUGUUCGAUCUUUUCCAAACAUAGAAUUUCCCCCAUACAGCAUCCAAAUCUCACUAACCUGAUCUGUCAGAGAUAUUGAAUGUAUUUUAGCCAUCCAAAGAGUAAUGUUUUGAUUUACUGCUAUACAUCCUGAGCAUGAGACAAUGAAGUGAGGGAACACUCUUUCAGUGAACGUUAUACAGAUCACAUUAAAAUGCUCCUACGUUUACACCGCUAUUUUUCAAACCCAUUUAUUGUUGUUGCUAUUUGUUCUUUCUUUGGUUUAUAUACCUUCUGUCCACAGAUAUUCGUGGAUAAAAUGAAAAGAGCAGCUCUGACAGUAAACUAAAAGAACAUUCUUCAAUUUUUUUCCAUAUACCCUUUCAGGUGUAGGUGAGGCUUCACUGGGAAUACUAUGUGCAGUCAUAGUCAGAAGAAGGGUUGCCAAGACAGCGCAGAAAAAAAGGAACCUCCUGUCUGUAAAGUGGUCAGAAACUGAUGUGUUAGCUCAGCAUAAUGAAGUCAAAGGAGGAGGUGUGGUGGCUGUUUGGAAAUGUCUAAGAAGAAGGAACGUCAGAUUAGGCAAAGAAAUGGUUGUGCUUCAGUGUGGAUGCACAGACACUGUCUUGGAAAUAAAUAAUGUAAUCAAAGCAUAAAGAGAGGUAAAUUCAUGUACACUCAUAAGACUAGCGGAGGUGGGGAACACUGACUUGCAGUGGGAGUAACUAAAUUCCUUUACUGAAGAUUAUUCUGGUCCUUUUUUUUCUAACAAGCUGAAAUCUCAAAAAAGAGAAAGAAUAGAUGACCAAGAGCAAGAGAGCAAGAAUAUGAGAGAGAGAGAGAGAGAGAGAAGGCAAAGAAGAAACAGGAGGGAAGGGAAGAAAGAUGUUUUCAAAUAAAAGGAAUUGUUCACAACAAACUAUUUUAAUCCAUUCAUUUGGAGUAUUUUUCAGUUGGGUCAUUUACCACAGUGUACCCCUUCAGUAUUUGAUUUCAGUGAAUCAGCAUUUUCUUUUGUACCAAAAAAAAUUGUUACAAAACCCUAAAUCCACUACUACACAAAUAAGCCUCUGUUGUUUGAAGUUUUCCUUCAUUUGUGAUGCUUAAUUUCCAUAUUGACAUAAGCUUAAACAUGUGAGAAAUAUGGGAAUCUUACAGGAACAGAAAAUUGGACUAUGUUAUGGCUUGUUUAUCGUUGCUGGAAAGAAAUUCUCACUUAAUGUUCUCCAAAUGACGGGAUUCAAAAGCUUUUCUCUUUAUUAAUUUUUGUGAUUUUAAACACAGAGACAAGGAAAAUGCAAAGCCUCUUUUUCUUUGCUAAGUUAUGUGGGCUGAGAGAAGAACUUUGACUAUUUUUAUUUUCUGCUGACCACAUAGAGGCAAAGAAUUCAACUGCCGGACACGUCAUUCAUACAGAGGCAUAUCUAAGUUCCAAAAAUACAUACAAAUAAAUUAUACACCUAAUAUCAACUUCAUAAAUAUUAAUCUAUUUUCAGAUAAUCACUGGUUCAUACAGGCAUGUUACAUCAUAACUGAUCUUCAACAAUAUGUAACAAUGUUUAUGUUAAAAUAUUUUUAUUUUCCCUCAGUUUUUUGAGGCAAAGCAAAUGCUGGAAUAAAAGUCAUCUAAUGAUGCAAAAGUCUGAGGAAAUCAUAAAUGCAGGAACAGGGGUGGUUAGAACUGAAUGCUCUUCACCGCUCUUACCAUCUCAGUCUACAAACAUGACUGUGUGUCCAGAUGCAGCACAUGAGCCUGCCACAUGACAACUGUUCUACAGCUCACGAGUGGGUGUGAAGGAGAAAAGAAGGAAGACUACCCAAGCCAAUCCAACUGGAAACAGCAAAAGUGCCUGGAACAUAAUAGGAAUAUAGAAGCUGACUAUUUAUUUGAAUGAAUGCGACCAGUCCUGAGUAGAAAGGAGGACUGAGAUAUUAUACAAAAUUAAAUCAAGAGAAAUAAUUCUCCAGCUUCAGAAGAUUGCACUGCAAUACGGAGAAGCACAGAAGUGAUACAAAGAGCAACGGGACUGUGAAAAUUACAUUAAAAUAUUUUGGUUUGUUGUUUGAUUUUUUGUUUGUUUGCUUGCUUUUGUUUUUAAUUUAUAAUACAUUUUCCUCAAUUGUGUAUCAUCAUCCUUUUCUGUUGAGCUUAAGACAUUCAUGCAAGCAAUUUUAUUUCCAGCAAACAUUAACAUUUGGUAGCUAAGCACAAAAAUCCCCACACUUUUAUAUCUCCACAUGCACGUUUCCACUGAAUUUGCUCAAGCACCUCAUCCGAUCAAAGAGUAAGAACAAUUCUGUUCAACAAGCAAGACCCACAAACAGGUUUCGAGUAAUAAAGAAUGACUUCAAAGAGCUGUUUUCUGAUGAACACUGAAACGUUUGCUGAGCAUGCUAGAAAAAGCUGUGUCUGUUCAUACAUAGGUUGGAUACUGGAGCACAACAAAUUUUUCCUUAAGCCACGUGAAGAAGGAUGAAGGGAAAGCAGACAGGGAUAAACCUUGAGCACUGAAGCUGUGAUUUCAAGCCAAAGCCUGCCCUUAUGGAGCCUUAUGGGGGGGUUAUGAAAAGCUUCUACGGAACAGGAAAACAAGUCCUUCUUUCUUCCUAUGUGCUUCAGAGAACUGAGAAAAACAGAAAGACCUGGAAUUGAGAAAGAUCAGUAAAGGAGAGCAGUAGAUUAGUCCAGGCAGGAAUAUGCAGAAACAAUUCCCAUGAAGGAUUUGCAAAGAUAAAUAAGAACAAAUGUGAGAGAAAGUUGGAUGAUCAUGUUAAAUAAUUCUGAAAUACUCGCUGUUGAAUGAGCAGGAGAAACCUGGCUUUGAAUUUGUUAGAAUUAUACAGAAACAUUAAAGUAUUGCCUCAUCAACACACAUUAAUUAAGGUAAUAUGAAUCAAUGUAAUGCAUAACAGACUUGUAUAAUCUCCCUAUAUGAAAUCUGAUGUUUCCCUGUUGUGCUUGAAUUUGCAUCUCUAUAUUUUUCUUAAUUUUAGAAACUGUCCUACUUGCAGCUACGGCUUUCCUGGCGGAGAAUGACAGGGUGGGAUUUUAGUCAUCAACAGUGCUCAGCUAAGGAGUCAAAUUGUGUUGAAUGAGCCCUCUGCUACUUCGUGAGAUGGUGUUGAACUUAAACACCUGAGCUGCAUGCAGGAUUUCUUUGUCCUUCUAUUGCUAGGAAAGAUGGCACAUUUACAAAGUGAUUGCAAAGGUAAGGAGUUAGUGAUCAUCAUACCAGUUGUUCAUAUUUUCUGAAGGCUCUAGAGAAACACACAGCAGUCCAUUAACCAACCAAACAAGCAAACAAACCCAAGAGGCAUCUGGACAGGUAGUUAAGUUGCUACUACUGAAUUUCUUACAUUUUCCCAAACAGUGAGGGGAAGUUUAGUAAAAUAAAGGUUCCUACAUGCUCAAAAAUUGUCCAACAUCUCCCAAACAAGCAGCUUACAAAAAAACAAAGCCCUGAAAAAUACACAGCAAAACCCUAAGGUGAAUAAUGAAGCAUGACCAAACAUUCUUUAUUUUAAAAAAUCUUCUAUAUUCUGUCUUUACUUCGAAGUUUUUUAAAAAAACAUUUGGAAAGGUUCAUCACCUGUGAAAAAUCAUAGCUUGGUGAAAAAUAUCCUAAUUUAUCACUUCAAUAUGAUACUGCAGGGAUACGCAACUACUGAAACAAGAAAAAGCAAUUUUAAGAAGUUUAUUUACCCAUUUUCUUUCUCUGAAUGUGAUACAGCAGGACUGACUCCCCUUUCUGCAAGGCCUGCAGAACCAAGUCAGCAACCUCAAACAAAACUAUUGCCAGACAACCAGUAUCUCAAUUCAUAUGUACCUAUAAUCUCCCAACUAAUGACAUCUCACUGUGUAGAACCAUAGGAAUACUAACUUGCAUGUGAGGCCUCAUUUCAGUACCAGCACUCAGUCCAGACUACCAGCCUACAGCACAUGAGAUCUGCCUACUCUGGCAGCAGUGGAUAACCAUGCAUAUGUGUGUCACACAGCCAUCCAGCUGUGUCCCCCAUGCUAGGCUGUGGGCAGCACAAUAGAGCUUGUUUAAGUUCCACUUAACGCCUCUCUGUUCCCAGAAUAAGAAAACUGUGGCAACUGUGGUACUGGUUGUUAUAGAAGCUCUGUCACUGGCAGUGAUUAAUAACAAAGUGGAACAAAUACUCAUGCAGGCCAAUCCCUGGCAGGGUAGAUGAGCAGCAUUGCAAAUGUUACAUUUCCAGGACCUAAUUCAUGCGAUUCUAUCUGCUGCUCUGUUACUUUUCUGUAUAACUGUAUAACAAAGUAGGGAUGGUAGAGACUGCUUAAUCAGGACAGUCUAACCUAUGGGCAAUUAUCCAAAACCACGUAUUUUCUAAAUUCUGUGCAGAAGAGAGAUGGAGCUUAAGAGCUCUGUAGGGAUCAGAGCUGCUAACCAACUUAUAAGAAGAGCUCUGGGGAUUGGAAUGGGAAUAAUGAGAAAAUCUGGAUAUUCAGCGUGAAGAACACUCCCAGUUUAGCUACAGUUACGUGUAAAUUAAACUUGUAUUUAACGUUUAUUGCUAUACAGUUCACUUUAAAAUUUCUCAUGGAAUAGCACUGGGAGAAAUUGUAUAGCACGUGAUUUUUCCCCUCUUUUGUUAUUAGUGUGACUGAGAGGAAUACCUGGGAAACUUGGCCAAGCACAAUUGGAAGUACAAUCAUGCAAUCAGGCUGUCCUGAUAGCUUCCCCUUUUUCAGGUUACAGCAUCACGCUAUGCGGUUAUUUCCAUGUUCAUGUUUAGAUAUCACAUGUAUCUGUAUACAUAGUGAUAAACACACAUGUAUUUAUAACACAGGUAACACUACUAAAAUGAUGAGGCCUGGAGAAGCUAUAUAGUACUAGAAUUACAAAGUAAGAGGGAAAAAAUCUUCCAGAAUACUUCAUCCUCUACUUUCUUCCAUUAUUCCUUUGACAAAACAUAAAGUGCUUCCAACAUAUUUAACUUACUGAAGUCUGAAGACAUCCUUGAUAUUCACAUUUAUUUCUAAUCUAGUUCCUUUGUUACUGAAUCAGUUUAGAAAAACUUCUCUGUUCAGGAAAGCACUUAAGCAUACACAGAAGGACAUUCUUAAAGGUAAGUAUCUUCCUGAAUAAAUCUUAUCAUUUAAUGUUAAUAAACACUCCUUAAUAAACCAUUUGAUAUAUGUUUGCAAUGCAGUGAUGCUUUUAUACUCUUUCACACUGCUCAGUUUUUACUACCAAGAAAAAAAAUAGGACAUGGAAAGGUGACUUCAAAUUUUUGUAAGUUAAGUUUAAAAUGGGUUUGAAAACCUCAUUUUCAGAAACAAACAACUUCAGAAAAUCAAGUUCAUGAUAAACUUAUUGUCUGAGGAUCCAUCAUCAGUAAUUAUUUUGGAAAUCUUGACCUAAUCUUCUAGACAAGCAGUUAUACCCACAACAACAAACAACUCGGCUUCCAGUUUGAAGCAGCAGUAAUUGAAUUGUGAAUAGUUGUUGGGAUUGAUCACAACUGAAAUGUGCAAAUGAGCAUGAGUGUGCGUGUCUGUGUUUGUAUGGAUAUAAAGCAUAAACCACAUAAACUUUUAGGGAGGGAGCGAGCUCCCCUUUCACAGACUCAGUCGAACAAGGCUAUCUGAAUGCAAACAGUGUUCCUGAAACACUCUUAUCACGUCUCCUCUUCCUCUGCAAAAAAUCACGCAUGCUAAACUCAAGAAUUGGGAAAAUUCUGCGACCAAGCACUUCAGCUGUGGUACAACAAAGGUAAUGCAAAAACAGACAGUGACUAAGCAAGGGCAUUUCUACUUUCCUUGUCAGUGUUCCUAGCCAUGAACUCAUGCUCUCCCACUGCUCUUUCAGCUGUGGAGCUUCAAUGUGAAUCUUCCUGCAAGACUGUUGUGAAACCUUUUCUCCCUAUACAGUUCAGCAAAUAGUACCUCAACAUGCUGUAUUUGCACAGUUGAAGGAAAAGCAAAAUAGUGAAUUAGCAACAGGAAAUAGUGAGAGGUGACAGAGAAAAAGGCAACAAUGUCACUAGGAUCUGUAGGAUCUACAGAAGACCUUGAUCACUGGUCACAUUUUAUAAAAGUCCAGGGACAAUCUGUAAGCUCUGAAUUGUUCCUCAGUAUUAUAAUUCAACAGAUGUCCGGAAAAGCAGUCUUAUGCCAGAAGAACUUGGAGAGAAAGGUGAUCUAAAUGCACCUGGCAUGUAAAUCCAAUCAGCUUGCCACACAAGAGGGAUUUAUCCUCUCUUUGUAUUUUUAGUUUUAUAAUGGCCAUGGUGAUCUUAGCAUCCCUGAUCCAUGCAUCCCUAGUGUACUUAAUGUCUCAUUUGGUAUAUAGAAUAGAACAGAGCGGAGCACAGCAGAAUGGAAUGGAAUGGAAUGGAAUGGAAUGGAAUGGAAUGGAAUGGAAUGGAAUGGAAUGGAAUGGAAUGGAAUGGAAUGGAAUGGAAUGGAACGGAAUGGAAUAGAAAAGAAUAGUUGGAAAGGAUCUACAAAGAUCACUGAGUCCAACUGCCAGAUCACUUCAGGGACAAUAAAAAUAAAAGCAUAUUAAUGAGUCCUCUUGGAUACUGACAGGUGUGGGGCAUCAACCACCUCACAAGGAAGUCUAUUACAGUGUUCUAUCAUCCUCAAGGUAAAGAAAUGUUUACUAAUGCCCAGACUGAGCCUUCUCUGGUACAGCUCUGUGCCAUUCCCAUCCUACCAUUGGUUCUCAGGAGCAGAGCCUGGCACCUCCCCCUGGCACUUCGCCCUCAGGGAGCUGCAGAGAGCAGUGUGGUCAACUCUCUGCCUUCUCUUCUCCAGAGUGGACACCCUAGCCCCUCUCACACGGCAUUACUUUGCUUUUAUGUUGUGGAGAAAAGGAUGGCAUGCUGUAUAGGUGAGACUGCACCAAUGCAAAAUGUAGCAGGGCAAUCAUGUGACUGGCUAUGCUGUGCUUAAUGCAUCCCACAAAGUGUUUAGCUCUUUAUUUUCCUAAUAAGACGGAACUGGCUUGAAAUAAAGUUUUGCAAAAAGUGGACUGAGA
ensembl:lncRNA